rfam:Schistosoma mansoni strain Puerto Rico chromosome 4, complete genome
AUCGAGCUGACGCGUUCCGAAUAGGACGAAACGCGCGUCAAACUGGAU